rnacentral:rRNA from 1 species
AAUCAACGCUGGCGGCGUGCCUCAGACAUGCAAGUCGAACGCGAAAUUUCCCUUCGGGGAGAAAGUAGAGUGGCGCACGGGUGAGUAACACGUAGGUAAUUUGCCUUUGGGUGGGGAAUAACUCAGGGAAACUUGAGCUAAUACCGCAUAAUGCAGCGGCUCGACAUCGAGACAGUUGUUAAAGCGGGGGAUCGCAAGACCUCGCGCCUAAAGAGAAGCCUGCGGCAGAUUAGCUAGUUGGUAAGGUAAUGGCUUACCAAGGCUACGAUCUGUAACCGGCCUGAGAGGGCGGUCGGUCACACUGACACUGACAUACGGGUCAGACUCCUACGGGAGGCAGCAGUCGGGAAUUUUGGGCAAUGGGCGAAAGCCUGACCCAGCAACGCCGCGUGAAGGAUGAAAUUUUUCGGAAUGUAAACUUCGCAAGAACAGGAAGAAUAAGUAGGGGACAAUACCCCUAUGAUGACGGUACUGUUUGUAAGCUCCGGCUAACUCCGUGCCAGCAGCC